UGGGGAUAUUGCACAAUGGGGGGAAACCCGUGAUGCAGCGACGCCGCGUGGAGGAAGAAGGUUUUCGGUAUUGUAAACUCCUGUCGUUAGGGACGAUAAUGACGGUACCUAACAAGAAAGCACCGGCUAACUACGUGCCAGCAGCCGCGGUAAUACGGAGGGUGCAAGCGUUAAUCGGAAUAACUGGGCGUAAAGGGCAUGCAGGCGGUUCAUCAAGUAGGAUGUGAAAUCCCCGGGCUCAACCUGGGAACAGCAUACUAAACUGGUGGACUAGAGUAUUGCAGGGGGAGACGGAAUUCCAGGUGUAGCGGUGGAAUGCGUAGAUAUCUGGAAGAACACCAAAGGCGA
rnacentral:rRNA from 1 species